GACCGGCUGCUCAGUGUAGAAUACUGCUAUAUGAAUGUCAAUUCAUUGUAGUAUAUAUUUAGAUACCGUACAAAUUGAAUACUAGUAACUUUCAAGCAAUUAUUUAAAUUGACAUAACAACAACGAUAAUAAUAAUACAAUUAUUUGUGGAAAUUGUGAUCACAGCCUUAAUUGUAGAAGUAUAUUUUGCCCGUUGUAUGAUUUUGCGAGUUUACAUUUCGGAACCGAAAUGUCAACAUUUCAUAAAGAAAGCGUACAUGCAAAUUGGGAGAUGACCCAACAACGCACUUUAUAACAAGAGGAUCCAUAAACUAAAAACAUGCAAUUGACCGUGUAAUUUGUUAUAUCCACGGUGGGAAAUGGCUAUUGAUUUACUGCAAUACAUAGGGUACCUAUACCCGUAGCAUCAUUUAAGAGCAUUCUCACAGCAGGAACUGAGUGCCUCGUAACUUCAUUGUCAGACAUCUCCGUGCCCCGUACGCGGCUCCCGGCGGCUCGCGGGACGGAAUUCCACAGCCAAGUGGGAGUUUCCAGGAAGAAGCCAUAUUGGAUGCGCUGAGCAUUUCCACGGCGUUAUCCCGACGAAGACAGCCGCUUCUUCGCCCCGUAAUAUCUUUGGACAAUGGCUGCCACGGAUGUAGACAUAUUUCCGAAUGAAGAAAAACGAACCCUUGACUUGGGGGGACGCGUUGGCUUUGACAGUCUUCCUGACCAGCUGGUUAGUAAAUCGGUAACACAGGGAUUCUGCUUCAACAUCCUCUGUGUUGGUGAAACCGGUAUUGGCAAGUCUACCCUAAUGAACACUCUUUUUAACACGACAUUUGAGACCGAUGAAGCCAGUCACUACCAGAAUGGCGUGUACCUGAGACCCAGGACAUACGAGCUGCAGGAGAGCAGCGUCCAGCUCAAGCUUACGAUCGUAGACACGGUGGGGUUUGGGGACCAGAUCAACAAAGACGAGAGCUACAAGCCCAUCGUCGACUACAUUGACAGCCAGUUUGAGAAUUACCUUCAGGAGGAGCUGAAGAUCCGGCGCUGUCUCUUUGAUCACCACGACACGAGGAUCCACAUCUGCCUGUACUUCAUCGCCCCCACGGGACACUCGCUCAAGUCUCUGGAUUUAGUCACCAUGAAAAAACUGGAUAGCAAGGUUAAUAUUAUACCCAUCAUAGCCAAAGCCGACACAAUCUCCAAGAGUGAACUGGACAAGUUCAAGAUCAAGAUUAUGAGCGAGCUGGUUAGCAACGGUGUCCAGAUCUACCAGUUUCCCACAGACGACGAGGCCAUUGCAGAGGUUAACUCGUCCAUGAAUGCGUACCUGCCCUUCGCUGUGGUGGGAAGCACAGAAGAGGUGAAAGUGGGAAAUAAGAUGGUGCGAGUCCGGCAGUACCCCUGGGGCGCGGUGCAGGUGGAAAACGAGAGCCACUGCGACUUUGUGAAGCUGAGAGAGAUGCUGCUCCGCGUCAACAUGGAGGACCUGCGCGAGCAAACGCACGUGCGGCACUAUGAGCUGUACCGCCGCUGCAAGCUGGAGGAGAUGGGCUUCAAGGACACAGACCCUGACAGCAAACCCUUCAGCCUACAGGAGACAUACGAGGCCAAGAGGAAGGAGUUCCUUGGGGAUCUCCAGCGCAAGGAGGAGGAGAUGAGGCAGAUGUUUGUCAAUAAGGUGAAGGAAACGGAAGCGGAGCUAAAGGAGAAGGAGAAAGAGCUGCAUGACAAGUUCGAGCAGCUGAAGCGGCUGCACCAGGAGGAGAAGAAGAAGAUGGAGGAGAAGCGGCGGGACCUGGAGGAUGACGUGAACGCCUUCAACAGGAAGAAGAUGGCAGCAGAGACCUUACAGGCUCAGUCACUGCAAGGAUCCUCACAGCAGCCCCUCAAGAAGGACAAGGACAAGAAAAAUUAAUGUGUGGGAACAGCCAGCCAGGCCAGCUGCACAUUUGCCUUCCAUCACCAUAGCGACGUAAAGCUGUUUUCACCGUUUUUUGUUGUGACCUCAUGACAUUGUGUUUGUGGACCAAAGACCAUGAUGGAAAGUGGACAGUGGAGUAAUUUAACAGUCUUACUUUGUAUUUGUAUUUAUUAUUAUAACUUUUUUUUUUUUACAUCAACAAGGUUGUCGAACAUGCAGGACUAUUAAAUACUACAUUUUAUUUCCAAGACUGAUUUACGAUUGCGGUUCAGAAGGGAAAAAAAUCUAUGCAAAGAAAGAAAAACGUUCAUGAGAUACUUGGUACUAAUAAGUGUGUCAGUGUGUUCCUUCAGCUUCUUUAGUCUUCCAAGCUCAUGCUCCUUACCCUCAGGAAGGAAUUUAAAUUAGAAGAUUUUUAAAAACCCAAACCCACACCCCCUCAACCACCACAAGCAGAGGAGUGACUUUGGCUGUUGUCACACUUGAGAUUGUUAUAUAUUCAGCACUUUACGUGGUGUGAUGUUUAUGACGAGGGGGUGUAGGGUGUGAGAGGAAUGUCGGCUUGGAGCUCGAGGUACCUGCGAGCCUCCGGUGGCCCCCAGCACUGUAGCCCAGCCCGCUGUGUCCCAGCUCUCCACGCUGGUCCUUGAUGUCAUGACUUCCUGUGUGACGCUGGCUCCAUGCUUGCUUGACACAUGCUCCUGUCACUGUAACUGGUAAGCUGCAGUUAUAUGGGUUGGUCAUUUUGUUCCAUAUCUACGUAUGUCAUUGUGCCUGUAGAUGCCGCUGGUCACAAGGUUUCGUGGUAAGGCACGCUAUCGCCGCCCUGCAGGAAGCCGAUGGCGUUUGUAUAUACACUUCCCUGCUGGUUUUUCAUCUUUACUCACACUUCCCAGAUGUGCAAGUGUUGUGCCAAAUGUGUCAUUUUUGGAGUGCAAAUGCAUUAUUGAUCAGGAAUAUUUAUAAACCAACAAGCAGUUACAAAAGAUAUACACUUAUUUAUAAAAAAAAAAAAAACAUGGAUUUUGAAAUUGAUCCCCAAAUUGCUAUGAAUAGUCGACGUAUGGUACAUAUUUGUAUUUGCUUGCCAACAAUAAAGCCUUUGUUUUUAAAAAUAAACAACCCUUAGCUUGCAUCUGCGUUUCUGCAUCACUCAUAACAGUAAAAAUUGUAGAAUAAAAAAAACCUUGCUGACUAAGGAACAGGAUGAUGACCCAGCUGUCAUCCAUGUGACCUUCAGUCAGAUACCAUGACGGCUAAAGCUAAAUUUAAAAAAAAAAAAAAGAAACCACACAACACAGACAUGAAAUAUAGUAAAUAACUUUACUCAGAGUUUUGGCCAUUGUCUUUCACAGUAUGCAAAAAAAUAUAUAAAAAGUACCUCUGCAGUUUUGGAUGCCUUGUUUAAAUAAUAAAUAAAAAAAAACCCUCAGUAUUAUUACAAAGUAUAAAUAGUUUUAGAUUUACAAAGACAUUCACAUUCCGUUCCAUGGCCGCCCUUAAAUGUUACCAAGAGGUUGUACUGAUUCGUAGACCAUCUUGCAUGUCUACCUACUGCAUUUUGAAGAAAAACAUUUCAAACGUAAGACAAUAUUAAAAUCAACACCGCUGGGCGACUUGCUUUUCAGAUUUUUUGCAAGAUCCAAAUUAUUCAUAAAAAUUACCCUAGUUUCCUCCUCUGGGAUCAUUGAAGUAGCACCUAUCUAAGAAAUUAAACUUGUAAUGUAAUGUUUUGCCCAGAAUUUAUUAUUUUUUAAAGUGCAACAUUUCUGUCUAGAAGUAUUUUUAACUGAAGAGAGUAACUCCUGAAAGUAUUAAAUACUUUGAGAGGAGGCCCCCCAUGUGGGUGACUGGCACAGUUUUGAAUUGCUGACAGUGUUCUGCAGCACCCCCCUCCCCAGAUUCACUAGCAAUCAGGUGGCUGAAGGGGGGGGCAGCCCUCCAUAGUGGCAGAGUGAGCGCUGUGACUCUCCCCAACUUCCAGCGCCAGCCCCUCACUGUACAGGCACCCGAACCCAUCGCAGAAGUCGUCCUCCUCCUCCAUGGCAUUCACCUGCAGCGAACCGGGCUCAAUCACAAGUGGAUGGGAAAUUUGUGAGCUGCUGUUCUGAAAGUACGUUACGGAGGCGGGGUCAAAGAUGUACACCACACUGGGUUUGAGGGAGUGCUUGAGGUGCAGAGCGAGGUGCUGCUCCGCCAUUUCCCUGCAGCGGAUAAGCUCCAUGCUGUCGAUCUUGGGCAGAAAGAGGGGGAUUUCGAAUAAGAACGUUUUUUUUCAUCCAUUCACUCAUCACUUGCAUCUAUCCCAUCUUUUAACGUGAAGAACGCAGAGAUGCAUUUUUUAACCCGAUCCUCGGAUCCACGGCCAGUCCAUGUUUUUGCUCCCUCCCAGCUACCCGAGGGAGCAAAAACAUGGCCAUGCCUGGGGGAUCCCCCGAGGGCCGGCUUGAGAAUCACCGAUCGAGGGUAUGUUAGAACCCUGACAUUCAAGACGCCCGCCUACCUGUGCUUUCUUUAGCAGAUCUGUAAAAACAGAGAACCAGUCAGGAGUGAGCCUCUCCACCUCCAAGGUAAUGAUCGCCAAGGCCAGUGUGGAGCCCUUAAACUGUGUCAGCUGGUGGCAGGCCAUACAGUGCUGCACCUGUCUGCUC